GACAGAGGAGCCAAGCGUUGUCCGGACUGACUGGGCGUAAAGCGCACGCAGGCGGCGCUGCGCGUGGGGUGUGAAAGCUCUUGGCUUAACUGAGAGAGGCCAUCCCAUACGGCAGUGCUCGAGCGGUGCAGAGGUCCGCGGAAUUGCCGGUGUAGUGGUGAAAUGCGUAGAGAUCGGCAGGGACACCCAGGGGGAAACCAGCGGACUGGGCAUCAGCUGACGCUCAGGUGCGACAGCGUGGGGAGCGAACCGG
rnacentral:rRNA from 1 species